rnacentral:lncRNA from 1 species
AUAGGUCGUGCUGGACGUGAUGGUAGAUUUUCUUAUUGCCAUCUGCUUUUUGAUGAUGUCACAUACUUCAAGCUUCGAAGUUUGAUGUACAGGUAAAGCAAAUGCCAUUUCUAUGUAGCCUCCCAUUUGUGGGAUUGGAGAUACAGAUUUUGGUGAUAACAUUAUUUUUUCAGUGAUGGCGUAGAUGCACAUGCAGUAAAUUUGUUACUUUCUCAUGUUUUUAUGAGCAAAGGAAGUGCAGCCAAUGAUACUUGUUCGUUAGUCAAAGAAACUGCUUCUCGUAAAUUUGAUAUGAAAGAAGAGGUCGGUCAAGUUGCUGCUUUUGAAUAAAGUUUGCUUACAAGCCCUCAUCUUCCUGUCAAAAAAAUUCAACUUUGAUUAUCAACCUAAGUAGUUUGUUAUUCAGUUUGUAUAUUAUUCAAUCAUAAAUGAAUUUAUUAUAUCGAGAUAUUUUUGCCUCAUGAUGUUGAACUACUGAUUUUUCUUGCCUUGUAGGUGAUGCUAACUAUUUUGACACAGUUGGAGUUGGGAGAAGUGCAAUACCUUCAAUUGCUUCCCCAGAUAAAUGUAACAUGUACUGUAAAUUUCCAUAAGGUGCGUUAUGCUUUCUAUGGGGGAUAAAUUUCUAUUCUCUGGAUGUUUAGUUUAUGCCGUCGUUCUUUGUUGAACUACUUGAUCUAAAGUUUAAAUUAUUAGAUCUUUAAAAUGCCUCUUCACGUGUAGACGGGGUUCAUUUUUUCCCGUCAAAGCCUAUCACGUGCAUAAUUCAUUUAAAUGAGUGACGGUGCAAUUUGAACCUAGGACAUUUGCAUGCUCUGAUACCAUGUUAAAUCACUUGAUCUAAAAACUUAAAUUAUUAGAUAGGGCCACAUGUAUAAUUAUUUAUCUUUCUGCAGACUCCGCCAGCACUUUUUGCUGCUAAAGAUAUUGUGGUUGCAUCAAUUCUGAACAAGUGAGAAAUAUUUUUUAUUCCAUACUACCAUGAACUAUGAAGUUAUUUGUUCUUAAAACUCUUAAUUGCUCUGCUAAUGCUUUACAAGCUUUUCAGGUCUGAAAUGAAAGAUGGGCAAUAUGUAUUUGACAUACCAUCUGUGGCAAAUAGCAUCAGAAUGCAGGCUGUUGACCUUACAAAUCACUUGCAGAGUCUAAAGGUGAGUAUGUUUUGACUUGUCCAAGCUUUUCAAAUUCCAAUUUGGAAUGAGAUUUUAAGAGAUUUCAGUUCUUUCAAACUCAUUUCUACAAGCCACUUGUUGAACUAUCUAUUCAUAUAGAGCUCUAUGGAGUUAUUGCUCUUCCCUUUAAUCCACUUGAAGUCUAAGGUCAAGUUUUUAUCCUCGUUCAAGCUUUGAUUGAAGAGGUCGAACUUGUAUGUUAGGAGGUUUGACAGAUCACGUUUAGCUAAGCUUAAAAUGUUUGCUUAUAAGCAAAAUAAGUAAGUCUUCAAAUAUUUAAUUUCUUAUUGGAUAAAGUUAGAUAAGUUACUUUUGACAGUAAGAUUAAGGUACUUUUAUGAUAAGUGACUUUUUUACCCAAAUGUAAGAUAAUAAAUUAUCGAAGCAAAAAGUUACUUGUGUUUUUUGUUGUAUUAAGGACCAUAAGAUUAUCUCUUCCAAAUUUUACUGUCUUUAGAACAUGAUUUAUACCUUACUCUGUCAAUUUCCAAAAAUUCAAGCUUCUAAUCAUUUUUCUCUGACAAUGGCGGAAUAUGAUUUAAAAUUGAAAUGCUGCUUCAAUAUUUUACACUUUAUAGUUGAAGUACUAUGAAAAUUAUGGUAACAUAAUAUUUGGCAUGGUCCUAAUCACUUAAUUGUAUUAUACUCGUUGAAAUAAUUGGGAAAAGAACCUUGUUGUAUUCUCCGAUUGAUUAGAAUUUACUAACUCACAGAAUUUUCUGUAUUGCUUGUAUUAGUUGAAGGGGGAAAUCACAUAUGAUUUGAAGGAUCCAGCCUAUUGUUAUACCAUUAUUAAUGUCCCGGAAGAUAUUUGUUCUUUGGCAGCAAGCCUUACAAAGUGGUUAUCUGAGGUCGAGACCUGUAAGGUGAUUGGCUUUCCUUUAUGUCAUUUAUUAUUUUUGUAGUUUAUUCUCUAUUUGUGUGGGGAAGAGGGGGACAUUCAUAGUGCAAGUUUGGCAAAGCUUAUAUUAUAAUUUAAACUUGUCAAACAUACUUUUUAUCCAACUUAUUAUCCAGCAUUCAAUGGGGCCCGCUGUUUAAAACAAGCACGUGAUAACAUGCAUACUGACUUUGAUUGACGUAGGUGCGGAAGAUAGAUGCAAUGUUUAAUGCUGCUGUUUUUGCUGCAAAAGAGUGUGAUAAAGUGCAGAGCUGCCAAGAAAAUCAACAUACUUCUUGCUUGCAAAGGAAGAUUCAACAGUACUUUAAUGGGGAUGAUGACGUUGAUGUUCCUAACCAGAUGGGUCAAAACAGGUUGAAAUGUUUGAUCUAUAAAUACACAAUUCACAGUGAACUUAUUGUUGGAGCUCGUUUGCUUGGGCUUCAAAACAAAUAAGAACUACUCAAGUUUCCAAACAAGUGUAUCCAAAGUUACUUAUUUUGACAGUAACUCCUGAUUAAAAUAAGUAGCUUGCCAUUUUUUUUUCUUUACAGUUUUUCUAGAACUUACAAGUGAACUGUAUAAGCUUAGCCAAACAUGCUCCAACAAGGCAACUACAGCAAAAAGCUAAGCUUUCAUUGCAUAAUAUAUAGCUGGGAUCUAUUGCUGAGCUCUGUUGUUUCAUUGAGCAUCAAUCAUGAAGAACCCAAAAAUAACUUAUAGUCUAGCAGAUAUUGAUAUGAAAAUAUCUAUGUAUAUAUGUUGCAAUAAAUAUUAUGAUCUUUCUAGAUAUUAUUUGAUUGUCCUAACUAAAACAUCAUUUUGUUUGCAGUCCAUUUUUGCGGGCUGAUAUAAAGGUACAAAUUUUCAAACGUUACAA